AACGGCGAGUGAAGCGGCAAAAGCUCAAAUUUGAAAUCUGGCUUCGGCCCGAGUUGUAAUUUGUAGAGGAUGUUUCGGGCACCGCCCCGGCGUAAGUCCCUUGGAACAGGGCGUCAUAGAGGGUGAGAAUCCCGUCUGGCGUCGUGGUAGGGCCCAUGUGAAACUCCUUCGACGAGUCGAGUUGUUUGGGAAUGCAGCUCAAAAUGGGUGGUAAAUUUCAUCUAAAGCUAAAUACUGGCCAGAGACCGAUAGCGCACAAGUAGAGUGAUCGAAAGAUGAAAAGCACUUUGAAAAGAGAGUUAAACAGUAUGUGAAAUUGUUGAAAGGGAAGCGCUUACAACCAGACUUGAGCCCGUCGGUUCCCCCUCGCUUCUGCGUGGGCUACUCCGGCGGGUCCAGGCCAACAUCGGUUCGGGUGGCUGGUCAAAGGCCCCGGGAAUGUACCUCACCUUCGGGUUAGGCUUAUAGCCCGGGGUGUCAUGCGGCCUACCUGGACCGAGGAACGCGCUUCGGCUCGGAUGUUGGCGUAAUGGUUGUCAGCGACCCGUCUUGAAACACGGACCAAGGAGUCGAAGAGCUAUGCGAGUGUUUGGGUGUCAAACCCGUACGCGUAAUGAAAGUGAACGGAGGUAGGAAGCUUCGGCUGCACUAUCGACCGAUCCUGAUGUUCUCGGAUGGAUUUGAGUAAGAGCAUAACUCUCCGGACCCGAAAGAUGGUGAACUAUGCCUGAAUAGGGUGAAGCCAGAGGAAACUCUGGUGGAGGCUCGCAGCGGUUCUGACGUGCAAAUCGAUCGUCAAAUUUGGGUAUAGGGGCGAAAGACUAAUCGAACCAGUAGCUGGUUCCUGCCGAAGUUUCCCUCAGGAUAGCAGUAACGUUUUCAGUUUUAUGAGGUAAAGCGAAUGAUUAGAGGCCUUGGGGUUGAAACAACCUUAACCUAUUCUCAAACUUUAAAUAUGUAAGAAGUCCUUGUUACUUAGUUGACGUGACAUUUGAUGUAUCGUUACUAGUGGGCCAUUUUGGUAGCAGAACUGGCGAU
rnacentral:rRNA from 1 species